GAGGGUACAGCUCAGUGGUAGAGCACAUGCCUAGCAUGCGUAACGUCCUGGGUUCAGUCCCCAGUACCUCCA
rnacentral:tRNA from 1 species